rnacentral:ncRNA from 20 species
AUAACCUGUUAACACUCUAGCCUCUUCGCCUGUGUCAAAAGAUAUGGCGAUUUGGCCGCGACGCCGCCGGUUGUCGCCAGGGCGUGGAAAGAAAUGACCGCGUCUCCCGUAUUUGGAAAGGUGUAUAUGGCCUCACAGC